rnacentral:lncRNA from 1 species
AGGCAUGUGUACACUGAUACUUAUAUUACCAAUAUAGGAGUUUGGCCCAGAUGAAAUUAUCCAUAUUAACAAUAAGACUAUUAAUUCUAAUUUCAAAACGUUUCCCCAAUAAUAAUUGUUGGAUGGAGCAGUGUGAUCGCUGCUCACAAUGCUGAAUUCCUUUCCUCUUUUCUGUGUUUCUGAAACUGAGCAAUAAUUAACCUUCCUCCAGCUGCCAGGAACCACUGUCCUGAGUAGACCGGCCUGACAGGCUCCACCUUGUCUCAGUUAAAAUCCGGCCAAUUUUCUUCCAGUAGAAUCCCAGGCUGGCCUCUCACCAAAGACAAACUAACUGGGGACAAGAACAAAAGGAGGGAGGGAGGGAGGGAAGGGGAGAAAGAAGGAAUGGCAAAGAACAGAACAAGAAAGAUCAAGGAAAGAAAAGCCAAGCCAAGUCCAGAGCUUGGAAGAGUGAUAGACUCACUCAGGACUUUGCCACCUGCAACUUCUCCCUAAUGCUCCAAGCUUUCUGCCUGGACAAGCGAUUUCCAGCUAGACUGGAGAAAGGAAGGGUUUCUGAAACCCUGAGCCAAGCGCCGAGUGCUCUGCUCAGGAAUCUGCCUCACCUGGAACCGCGCUGUCGUCCCACUUCAGAACCCACAGUGACGGAUACAGCACAUCACAGAGAGCAUCCUGAACUUAUUUAAAUCCUUUUGUCAAAAUGAAAUAAAAUUCUGCAACACGGCUCCGUGUCAAUUAUGCGUAAACGAGCAGAUCCAGUAGCACCGAAGCCAGAGCUCAGGCACUGAGUAAUGAAAGGCUGGCAUGUUUGCUUUGGGAAGGAAAACUAGCAGCCCAUUCAUCUAAAUGCAGUUAUGUUUCAAUUUAACUAAAUUACAAGGUUUGAAAUUAGCAAUGCUUCAAGCGCCCUGGGCUACCGCUCCCACCAGAAAGCUUUAUCUUUAAUACCUGCUCCAGCUUGCAAAUAAAACUAAGGAAAACAGUAGGGGAAAAUGCUCAGAACUGCUUUUUAACAAAGGCCUUUUCUAUCAACUGCAAUCUUCUAGUUUUUUUACCCCUCAGAAUGUCUAAGGCUUAAAUAAAACAAAGCUAAGUAAUACUUGUUCUUUUUUUUAAAAAAAGAUAUAUAUUCCACUGCAGUUACUUAAAAUAUUUGCCUUAUUUAUCAUGAUAAAGUGUAAGCUUCUUAUGAAUAAGAAUAAUUUCAGAUUCACAUUCCUUAUCUCUAGAAUACUUAACACAGUGCCUCUGUACAAUAAAAAUAAUUCUUAUCCCCCUUUAACGUGAAAAGGAUAACAGCCUCACUCUCUUGAAGUCAUUACCAAGAAACGUAAAGGCAGUGCCUGCAUUGAACAAGACCAUUGUCUGAGUUGUAGAAAAGAGCCAUACAAGAAUGCUGAGAUUUGCACUUGACCUAUGAAAUUAAAAAAAAAACUACUGGGAAUUAUUUUGAGAGGGGUAAAUGUUACAGUUUAUUAAAUCACUUUAAGAGAAAAUAAUGAUAGCUAAUAUACAACAAACACCAACCAUAUGUCAGGCACCGUGCUAAGCACUUUACAUAGGUUAUCUCAUUAAAUACUCACAGAAACCUUAGGAUUCGGCUACUAUUUUUAUCUCUAAUUUAUAGUGUAAGAAACUCAGGUUCAGAGAUGUUACAUAACUGAUCCCAGGACCCAAUGUGGGAUUAGAACCAAGAUUAACCUAUUAGGAGGGCUUAAGGUACUGGGAAAACCUUGGCCAUUUUCCAGUGCACAGAUUCAAGACCAAGCUCCUUUAAGAUAAGAAAUCUCUACUACAAUACAAAAGCAAAGACGUCUCUAUUCAGACACACCAACUGGUUCCAAAUAAACACAAGAAAGUGUCCCAGGAUUCAGAAACAUCUUCUGUGUUGUGGCCAACACAAAUGUCCCUUUCAUAUGUUCAGUCACCCCCCCAUUCAAGAAGCCCCUGGAUACUUAAAACACCAUAGCUCAAUUGUGGGACCAUCUCACAGAGCAUGGCCCAAAGUCGUGCCGCAUAAUGGUGCAGUAGAUACUUCACAGACAUUUCUGUACUGCAUGAAGAACUAUGAAGUUUUAUAAAGUUGGCUCUAGAAUCAAACUUCAUAAUGGCUAUUAAGCCAUCUGCAUUCAUAUAAUUUCAAUUGGUCAGUGUCCUGCACACACACACACCAAUAGACCUGAACUCCGACAAAGGUUCCCAUACGUAUUUUAUGACAGACCUCAUAAUACUGUUCCCCAUUUAUGUUCUCUUAUUGUUAAACUAUAAAGAUCUUAUCUUGUUCCUCUU